AUCCAGCUGACUAGUCCCAAAUAAAACGAGACACGCGUCCUGGAU
rfam:Schistosoma margrebowiei strain Zambia genome assembly, scaffold: SMRZ_contig0000147